AUUUUGGAAGAAAUACCUGCAUUCUUAAAGUAGAAGCGCUAACUUGCUAAGUGCCUCGAAGCAUCUCAGACAAACGCAUUUCCAUACAAGUUAAUUGAUAGUUUAUAUGCUCAAAUAUAAAAAGCAAGACACCUCUUACCUCAUCCCACUUGUUCUGCUCUGCAGAGACAGGCGUAGGCUGCAGAGACCCAGCAGGGCUGUUGCAGGUCCGUAUUGGUUACUCCUCAGUUUCCCUUCCUGCCUUCAGAAAUUCACAUCCUCUCUGCAACUGCUGGCACCAGCUCCAUAACACUGGGAGUGCCUACAGUUCUGUUCUCAAACAUACAAUCAGUGAGAGUGACUUGUCAAACCCUAGAAUAGUAUGCUACAGCUUGGUGGUUUUAUUUCCAUUUCUGCAUUCGGUCACCAUUAUGCAUUGUAUUGUUUCUCUCUAAGCUUAACCUUAGUUUCUGUUGCUGUUUUUAAGAAAGCAGCAUUUCCAGCUAGGUAUGAGUCAGGCCUUCUGGCAGCAGACCGAGGAACCAAGCUGCCCUCAAGGCGAAGUGGCAUGUACAAGCUUUCCUGGUUUCUGUAUUGCACCAGGUAUGACAAACUCCACUUACCUCAGCAAAUCACCUAGAAAGAGCUCCUCAGGCUGAAGCUUUGGCUUCUUCAUGUCAAAAGGCUCUGCAUAGACUAAUGCGUACAUCCCUUACGGAUCCCUCCAGUUAUAACUCAGAAAUGAAAAGUGCCACUGAGACUCAUGAAAUGAGGCUGAUGCUUUCUACAGCAGUCACCACAAGGAAAGGAGGAAAAACUGUAGGGUUCCAGACCUCACUUUCUCCCUGAAGUAACCUAUGGAGAAAAAUGCUUUGCAUCCAAGGGCACAGGACAGGCUGACAGCCAGAUCCAGGCUGUAUAGCUUGGAGGUACUCCGUCUACUACCUCUAUCACAAAGUGUGACGCUCAGCACAUGAUAACGGUUCCCCCCCAGCCUUCUGGGAAGGGACUGUGGGUGGGGGUAAAAAUAAAUAAAUCAUCAAUAUAAAUCUUCUGUCCAGGCCUCACACAAGCUUGUAAAGGAGAAUCACUCUGAAUCCCAGAGAUACAAAGUCUCAAACACUUAUCUGAGAUCCCAGGACCAUCCUCAUUCAGCUCACUGGUGCCCUGGAGCAGAGUAUUAGACUCAAACUUCCUGCUUUUGCAGGAGCUUCCCAGUACAGGUGCCAUCAUUUCCCUCCUUCGGAGCAGCUUCCCCCUUCCCUUUGUUUCUUUUGCAACCACACAGCAAAUCAGUGAUCCUUCACUGGGCCUGGAUGAGCCUGAAGAAAGGCAGCAGACAGCCCUUGUAAAUAGUGAAGCUGCCCCUUAGAGACGCACAGGAGAGAAGGGAGGACUUCCUGUUUCUGCUCCAAGAACUAUCGGUAUCUGUUAGUCAAUAGCUGCUUUGUGUGAAGUGGAUUAAAAACCCACAGUAGAAAAGAGGGCUUGCUUAGCAAUAAUGGUAAUAAAUCAUCCUAAGAGUCACACACUGAAGAGGAUCUUGUGG
ensembl:lncRNA